GGCGUUGAAAAAAAAAAGUUUUCAUUAACCCGAGGCAUCAUAUUCAAAAUGUUCUACUCUUAUACAUCUAUAAACAUGUGUCUAAGAACACUAGUAUGAGGAUUGCUAUCAUUGCUAGGCAUUGCAUGUGAAAAGGGAAAUUAAAGGACACCUGUAAUGCAGUAGCCUUAGCCUUAGCCUUCCGUUUAUGCUCCUCUUCUCUGCAUCCAACAACCACAACAAAUUGCAAUUCAGCAUCAACCCCACACAAUACAAAACAUUCACAUUGUAUACACAGUACAUACAUACACACUGCAAACACAGUACAUACAUACACACACUACAUACACUGCAUACACUACACACACUACAUACACUACACACAUACACUGCAUACACUACACACACACCCUGCAAGUACACACACAGUGCAUACAUACAUACACACACUGCAUACACCCUGCAUACACCCUGCAUACAUACACACUGCAUACACAGUACACAAACACACACACACACUACAUACACUACACUUACACACACACUGCAUACACUACACACACACCCUGCAUACACACUGCACACACACACACUCACACUCACACACUGCACACACACACACACACUGCAUACAUACUGCAUACACACACACACUGCAUAUAUACACACACACUGCAUACAUACACACACACUCACACUUACACACACUGCAUACAUACUGCAUACAUACACAUACACUGCAUACAUACUACAUACAUACACACACACACACUGCAUACAUACACACACACUCACACUUACACACACACUGCACACACACACACUCACACUCACACACUGCAUAUAUACACACACACACACUGCGCACACACACACACACUGCACACACUGCAUAGACACACACACACUGCACACACUGCAUAGACACACACACACUGCAUACACACUCACACCACAACACUGCACACAACACACACAAACUGCAUACACACUCACACACACACUGCACACACACACACACUGCAUACACACACACACACUCACACUCACACACUAAACACAGUCACACACACACACACUGGACACACACAUACACACACUGCAUAUAUACACACACACACAAACUGCACACACACACUGCAUACACACACAAAUUACACACACACACACAAACUGCACACACACACACUGCAUACACACAAAACUGCACACACACACACAACUGCACACACACACACACACUACACACACACACACACACUGCACACACACUCACACUCACACACACUCACACUCACACACUGAACACAGUGACACACACACACACACGGGGACAGAGUGCAACAAACUCUUACCCUCACACACACACUCUGUUUUUAUACUCACACACACACACUGCAUACAUACUUGCAUACACACACACUGCACACACACACACACGCACACACACACACACACUGCAUACAUACUGCAUACAUACACACACACACACACUGCGCACACACACACACUGCACACACUGCAUAGACACACACACACUGCACACACUGCAUACACACUCACACACACACUGCACACACACACACAAACUGCAUACACACUCACACACACACUGCACACACACACACACACACACUGCAUACACACACACACUGCACACACACUCACACUCACACACACUCACACUCACACUUACACUCACACUCACACACAAACACACACACACACUGCACACUUACACUCACACUCACACUCACACUCACACUCACACUCACACUUACACACACACUGCAUACAUACUGCAUACAUACACACACACACUGCAUACAUACUACAUACAUACACACACACACACAAACUGCACACACACACUGCAUACACACUGAACACAGUCACACACACACACACACUGGACACACACAUACACACACACACAAACUGCACACACACACUGCAUACACACACAAAUUGCACACACACACAAACUGCACACACACACUGCAUACACACACCAAACUGCACACACACACAAACUGCACACACACACACACUACAUACACACACACACUGCACACACACUCACACUCACACACACUCACACUCACACACUGCAUACACACUCACACACACACUGCACACACACACACACACAAACUGCAUACACACUCACACACACACUGCACACACACACACACUGCAUACACACACACACUGCACACACACUCACACUCACACACACUCACACUCACACUUACACUCACACUCACACACAAACACACACACACACACACAAACACUUACACUCACACUCACACUCACACACACAUUUUACACACACAACUCACACACACAUUUUACACACACAACUCACACACAUACACACAAAAACAGAUUACACACACACACACGGACAUAUUACACACACAUUUUACACACACAACUCACACACACACUGCAAAUAACACAGGUUACACACACACACACGGAUAGAUUACACACACAUUUUACACACACAACUCACACACACACAGAUAUUACACAGGUUACACAGAUUACAUACACACACACACACACACAAACACACUCACACACACACAAACACACAGACAAAUUUUUUUUCAGUACACACAAACACACACACAGAGAGCACACACCUGAGACUAAUCUCAAUUUCAUCUUAUGAAAACCCCAAAUUCUAAUCUCAAUUUCACCUAAAUAACAAAACCCUAAUUUGUUCAAUUGCAAAUCCACUUGUAUAUUAUGAAUUUCUCAAACCCAAAACAACUAAAAUCAAAUAAACCUCAGUUAAUAUCACAAACAAAUCCACACAAAUCGACGAAAAAAAAUCCAAGAUUCGAAGCUUACCGACUAGAGGCAGAUGACAGCGACCAGAUGCAAGGACGACGAUGAGCGUGAGGACGAUGUGGGAGCACGGCAAGGACGACGACGAGGGCAGACGCAGAGAUGAGGACGAUGUGGGAUGUGAGAUGUGGGAAGACGCGG
rnacentral:lncRNA from 1 species